rnacentral:rRNA from 1 species
AGUGAACGCUGGCGGUAGGCCUAACACAUGCAAGUCGAACGGCAGCACAGUAAGAGCUUGCUCUUACGGGUGGCGAGUGGCGGACGGGUGAGGAAUACAUCGGAAUCUACUUUUUCGUGGGGGAUAACGUAGGGAAACUUACGCUAAUACCGCAUAUGACCUACGGGUGAAAGCAGGGGAUCUUCUGACCUUGCGCGAUUGAAUGCGCCGAUGUCGGAUUAGCUAGUUGGCGGGGUAAAGGCCCACCAAGGCGACGAUCCGUAGCCGGUCUGAGAGGAUGAUCAGCCACACUGGAGCUGAGACACGGUCCAGACUCCUACGAGAGGCAGCAGUGGGGAAUAGUGGACAAUGGGCGCAAGCCUGAUCCAGCCAUACCGCGUGGGUGAAGAAGGCCUUCGGGUUGUAAAGCCCUUUUGUUGGGAGAGAAAAGCAGCAGGUUAAUACCCCGCUGUUCUGACGGUACCCAAAGAAUAAGCACCGGCUAACUUCGUG